rnacentral:misc_RNA from 1 species
CAAUUAAUUGCACAUUUAAAGAUAGGAAAAACUUCAAGCAACUACAAGGAAUUUUUUUACAUGCACAAGUGAAAGCUUUUCUCUCUAGCUAAAGAUCAACAUGGAAAAGAUAAACUCUUUGAUACUUGCCAUCACUUUGUUUAUUUUAAGCCUUAGGAAAUCACCGAGUUCUUUCAUCUGGGAUGAAGAAAUCAAAUCGGACAUCAACAGAACCAGAAGUUUCUCCAGUAUCUUUGUACUGUACUCGAUGUUUGUUAUUGAUCCGAUUUUUUCUGCAUCCUGAUAUUCUGCCCUCACCCGUCGUACAGGCACUGUAACAGAAUAUACAGUCCCAAGAUCAAAAUCGG